rnacentral:lncRNA from 1 species
CAGAAGGAUUCGGCAAGGGAAUACAUUAAAUACAGGACGUAUAACUUAUGAGGUUAUUAUUGUUGUUUUUUUGGUUCCGGAUAUCGAACUCGGGCCCUUUCGCUUGUGAGGCAGGCAAUAGAACCACUGAGCUAAAUCCCUGGCCCUUUAUGAGGUUAUUUUAUGAUAAUUACCCAAAGAGUCAAAUGCAAAGGAGUGCAAGAGAUCAACUGCACACUUGAAGCUCAAAGGAUUCAGCUGAGGGCCUAGAUCCCAGCAGUUUCCCACACAAGUCCAGCUGAAGGCUUGGAGUCCAGCCAGUGGCAAUGUCGCAUGCUUGUCCGUAUGGAGGAUCUGCACCUGGAAGGCCCAAAGGCCAGUGGUAGAAGCCAGAAAAUCUAUGCUGGUGAGAUGAAGGAUUUGUGCCACCAAGGUGAGGGAUCCACACUGGAGCCAGGAAGUGAUGCUCAUGGUGAAGAUCAGAGCUCCCCUGAUGAAAACAACAGCCAUUCCCAGCAACAGCGAGUUCCCAAGCUCCUCCUCUGAUGAGAACAUCCUAGUCUGCAUAGGAAAAACCAUCCGCAGCAAACUUCUCCUAGCAAAUCAACAGGCCAAGACCUUCCCCUUCAGUUCUCUUUUUACAGCUAUUGGUAACAAUCUUCAGGUGGAUCCUCCACACCCAGACCGUGCUGAUUCAGUUCAGCUGGGCGUUACAAGUUGACCAUUAGUCAAUCCACCACAGUGGGUUCAAAUCCUCUUGUCACUUCCAGCUGUGUGACCUUGGCAAGAGACUUAACCUCUGUGUUGCACUUCCCUUAUGUGUAAAAUGGAAAUACUGACAGAGAGGUCUUGAGGGAUAAAUCACAGAAGUGGUGGGCCAGGGAUUUAGCUCAGUGGUUCCACUACCUGCCUCACAAGCAAAAGGUCACGAGUUCAAUCCCUAGUACAAAAAAAAAAGAAAAUAGUGCCUAGGAGUGGGAGUUCCCAGUGUGCUGGUCCUAUUACUGCCCACUGCAAGUCCCUCUCUGCCACCGAGCCAGCCAGGGAGCACGGAUGAUGACUCCUCUGAGCCGACUCUCUCCGUGGCUCUGGGUUCUGCAGGCCCCGUGGGAGUGCACCAGAGAGAAGUCCCCCAGAAGACCGGAACCCUGCCCAACAGGAUGCAGCUCUGGAAGGUAGAUGGCUCUCGGUGACUACCCACUGAAACCACACCUAUCCCUGCUGGGUGACAGGAGCAGGAGGCUUGGCCAGGCUGAAGCUGAGUGGACUCUUGAUUCUUCCACAGGCCCCCUGCUGCACAGUGUGGCGCUGGCCUCCUCGACCCACUGCUGGCUGCCUGGCCACUUCCUCUGGGAAACUGGCUAGUUUCGCCUGCAUGUUGUGGUGAGGGUUGCAGGAGGCAGAGUGCGCACAGUGGCCAGUCCUGUGGCUGGUGGGGGCAUCACUUGGUUGGAUCAGGGGAGAGUGUGGCCUCCAUGGCCAGGGCGGGGCAUGGGAGGGUCGAUUCCCACCCAGACCCCAGCAGCCAGCUGUGUCCCAUGCCAGCCUGCUCUCCAUAUGCCACUGAGUCGAGACCCAAAGACACAGCAGACUACUGGCGGGGAUAGCACCGUUUAUUAAGAAAAAUCAAGACAAAGACCCUUCUAGGACCUGAGGUCAGGUGUCCCAAAGCCACAAUAUGGGGACUGCUGACCACCAGGUCGGUCGUUGGGUUCCCAGGGGUGGGGCUGUCAUCUUCCUCCCACUCCCCCCAGUCAGGGGUCUUGGCCUCCCCACUCUAAGGCACUGGCUCUUCCUGACCACCAGUUCCCCCAAGUCCCUGGGCCUUCACCUCCAGAAGAGUGGGGGAUGUGGUCUGGUGUGGUGAGACCUCAGUGCUGGGUGUUCCAGGGAGGAGCUGGGGGGGUUUCCCUUGCAGCCCUGAGGGGGGACCCUGGACUGUGUGUGGGUGGUGGGAAUGCAGAGGGAGGGAGUGGAGGUGGGAGGAGGCUGUGCCGCUGGGCAGAGGUGGGGGAUUGGGAUGGAGCUGGUGGGGGGAAGAGCAAGCUGCCUUCUGCUCCACAGGGGGCGCUAUGGAGUUUUCCAGCCCAGGGUUGGGGGGGUAAGGGCAGGUGAUACCUCCUGUUCACUUAGCUGGUGGGCACCAGGUGGUGAGCUGAGAUGGUCCUCAGGAAGGAGGGCUGCCCAAGGGCUCCCAAAGUGGGUGGCCCAGUUCUUUGGGGGUUCCGUCAGGGCAUGAGGGGUUGGGAUAGAUCUGGGUCUACCCAGCCACCAUGCCUAACCUCAGUUCUUGGUGGCUUUCUGAGGCAACAGACCCUCCCACCUGCCCUGCCCACAGGCCUUGGUGCUUUUCCCAUGUGUGUGGGAAGCUGGUGUGCCCACCCUCCAGUCCAGCCCAGGGCAGUAGCAGCAAAGCAUGGCAUCGCUUCAGUUUCUUACAAAAAACUCAUAAUAAUAAUAUUAAUAAUAAUAUACUCGACAUUGUCAGGCUGGGCGUGGCCUGGGAGUCCAUGGGAAGCUGGCAAGUGCCUAUGAGGGGCAGGGGCGUGUGUUGGCUCCAGCCUGGGCACGGUGCUGCAGGUCUAGGGGUUGGGGCGGUGGUGCGCCAGGCCCAGCCGAGUGCAGCACUAGGUUCUUGAUACAGCCUGUGAUGCCUGAGGAGAACCUGCCUCUGGUCAGUGUGGCCACAUCUGGGGCGCCACCUGUGGGCAGGGGAGUGAGAGCGCUGGAGGGUUCCAGAAGCCCAGGAGGCCAGCAUUGCAGGACCACCGUGCCCUCCUUGCCCUUGGUGGGCUCCUCCCACCCCAGGCCAGCCCAAGACUUACCAAUGUACACCCUGCCUUUGGUGUUGACUGCCACAUUGGGGCCCGGGGACUGUCCGCUCACCAGCUCCUCGCCGUCAACCUGGAUGGAGCCUCUCCGGCCCUCUCUGCAGUGUGGCUGGGUCAGGCCCCCUGCCUGGCCUGGAUUCCCAUCCUUCCAGCCCACCCAUAAAACCCAUCCCCUUGGCAUGGAGACUCUGGACAGAUGAGCCAGGCCCAGCCCCUUGCACACCCCCCAAUCAUGGGCCUCACCCUGCAAACCCAGCUCUGGUUUGACCAGGGAGCUCCCCAACUCCAGUUUCCUGUUCUCUCACAGAGCUCAGUGGCCACUUCCCUGCCUGUGAUGGGGGCAUCCUAUCCCUCUGCAGGACUCUAGUCCUUUUUCCUAACGCCUGGCUGGGCUUGCUUACCGCAGCACUGCCACCCGGUGCCACUCGGCCGUCAUUGAUAGGGUCCUCAGAGACAAGGUGGGCCUCCCCACUGCCCAACUGGUAGCUGGAGUAACAGAGGCCCAUGAGUGCGAGCUGGUGCAGGACUGGUGGUAUGGAGCGGCGAGGGGGCGAGGUGAUAUGUGACUGGGGGACUGGCAGGGGCAGCUUCCCAUGGGAGGAGCCAGGGAGGGGGGAGGAGGAGGGGCAGGGUGCCAGGACCCACCUGAAGACAAGGAGGCCAUCCUGCAGUCCUAGGCUGAUGAAGUCCUUUCCUCGGUUGGCCUCUCCCACCUCCUGCCAAGGAAGCACAGGGUCUUAGAGUCCCCAGCCUGCAGAGCUGAGGUCCCUGAUGCUGUAGUACUGAGAGACCUUCCUCCCGCCCCAUGGCCCUGGCCACCAGUGGGCCAGCCUCCUGCUGCAGGAUCCCAAGACUCCACACCUGGUGCCCACUCACCACGCCCUGCCAGAGCAGCAAGCCGUUGGCCGUGCUGGUCCGAACCUCCAGCUCGAUAGUCUCGGGCACUUCAGGCAGGCUGUGGGGGGUGGGGAGGGGGGUGAGUGAGUGGACAGAGCUCUUGGACUCCUGUCCUCCCCCACCUGGACCUGUCUUACCUCCUGGAGAAGACUUGGCUGGGAAGGGCUAGGAAGCCAUCAUUGUGGAAAUAGGCUCCGCACUGCCCGGGGGCAUCUGUGGGCGGGGGUGGGUGAGGGUGAGACAUUGUCUCGGCAGGUAGGUGCGGUCCCCAAUGGGUUCCCUGGCCCCCACCUCCACUCCAUUACAGGGGCCCUCAACCUGUGGUCCCUCAGUACUAUCCCAAAGGGGCCACCAACAAACUCAAGGGGCCUUGAACUUGAUGGGAAAACGUCACAUCUAUUUUCAUUCACUCACUUCUCACUGACAUUUAGCAGCUCCCUCACUUAUGGCUGUUGGCAACCAGCCACAGCAGUAGCAUCAGAGCCUGGAACUUUUCCCCUAAUAUUUGCCUAGCACACUGGAGUAGUUGCAAAUAUUUCAAAACACUGCUCAUGCUUAAUGACUUAUUUACUGUGCUGAUAAAGAAGCACAUAUAUUAGGAGUCUACAAAUACUUUGGUAACUUGUUAUUCAGUCUAACUGGUUUCCUUUGAAAUCCUCUGUAUCUUAUUUUAUGGAGUUGCUUGGAUCCAUGUCCCUGUCUGCCAUGUUUCGUUAGCUUUAGCUCUGAGAAUCCCCAGCAAACUGGGCCAGCUGGUCACCUUGGUCCUUGGCAAUCAGGUUCAGAGCUUCAUGUGUUCCCUCUGCUUCAUGGGACAGGAGGGGGAGACAGGCUCAACAUAAGUUGCCCAAAACUGGGAAGCUGGGAUCUCAACCUGGGCCUUUCAGCUCCAGUGUCCACACUGUGGCUGUACCAUCCCCACUACCACCUGCUCACGACCCAGCCCACAGGCCAGCAUGGCCACAGGAGGACUGGCAGCUGCAAGGGACACUCAACAACUUCCCACCAAACAAUUCGAGUAACUGCUGACAUUUACCCAUUUACCAUGUACCUGCUAUGUGCCUAUGCAGGGAGCUUCCAAUUUAAGCUACAUAACCCUAUGAGUUAAUUUUAUUCAAAGUCUUAGGGAUUAAAAAACGUUAUACUUGGGCCGGGGAUUUAGCUCAGUGGUUCCGCUGCCUGUCUUGCAAGCACAAGGUCCCGAGUUCAAUCCCCGGCACCAAAAAAAAAAAAAAAAAGUUAUACUUUUCUCCAUUUAAUGCAUUGGAAAACUGAAGCACAGAGAGGUUAAGUGACUCACCCAGAGUCACAGUUAGUAGCAAGGCCCAGAUUUGAAUCCAGGCAGACUGGCUUCAGAGUCUAUGCUCUUAACCACUAUAUCACAGCCUCUCCUAUUAGUGACGAGAAGGAUGAUCUAUAAAGGACUUUACACAGUAACUGUAAAUGUUCAACAAACACUAUUUUAUUUACUUAUUUUUUUGUGGUACUGGGGACUGAAUCCCCAAGCCCUCACACAUGCUAGACACUCUACAACUGGGCCCAUCCUCAGUCCUUUUUGUGUAUGUGUAUGGUACUGGGAAGUGAACACAGAGCCUUUGCACUAAGCUACAUCCCCAAGCUCUUAAAAUAAAUUUUUUUGGGGAGGGUUAUGUGUCUGUAUUUUUUUUUUUUUUUUUUUUUUGGUACCAGGGAUCAAACUUGGGACCUUGCGAGGCAGGUAGCGGAACCACUGAGCUAAAUCCCUGGCUCAACUUUCUCGUUUUAUCUUUUUAAUUUUUCCAUUACUGGGGAUUGAACCCAGAGCCAUCACAUUGAGGUAGAUUUCCCAGUCAUUAAAUUUUUUUUUUUUUUAAUUUUGAGACAGGGUCUAGCUAAGUUGGCCACAUGGGGCUUGAACUUGUGAGCCUCCUGGUUCAGCCUUCCAGAGUGCUGGGAUUAUAGGACUAUACCACCAAGCCCCAUUUCACUUUUUGUUUUGUUUUGUUUUGAGACAAGGUCUCACUAUGUAGUCCAGGCUGGCCUCAAACUUGUGGUGAUACUCCUGCCUCAGCCUUCCGAGAGCUGGGAUUACAAGGAUAUGCCGCCAUACCAGCUUCACUUUAUUUAUUUAUUUUUUGGUACCAGGAAUUGAACUUGGGUUCUUGUGCUUGGGAGGCAGGCAGCAGCACCACUGAGCUAAAUCCCCAGUCCUGUGUGUGUUUUUGUUUGGUACCGGGGGAUCAAACUCGGGUCCUUGCACUUGCGCAGAAGGUGGUGAAACCACUGAGCUAAAUCCCUGGCCCACCUGUGUGUGUGUUUUUGAGACAGGGUCUCACUAUGCAGUUCAGGUUGGCCUUGAACUCACUAUGUUGCCCAGCCUAGCCUUGAACUCAUGGCAAUCCUCCUGCCUCAGCCUCCUGAGAGCUGGGAUUACAGGCAUGCGCCACCAUGCCUGGCAUCUUUAUUUUUACAAAGACAGCAGAAUCCUUGAGAGUGAGGGUCCUGCUUAUUCAUGUUAUAUUUUCUGCUCCCAGGCAAAACUGAGCACACAAUAGGUGUUUGUUAAUUGUAUAAUUACAGAAGAGGAGAGUGAGGUCAGGGUGGUUCAAAGAGCUGCUCAAGGUCACCUUGCCAGUAAACCUGAGGCAGGUCCCAGCUUUGUACGUGGCUUUUCUUUCUUCUGUAUCCAGCAAGCCCCUCACCUAGGCCUUUUUGCUUAGAGGCUGGAGUGGAAGUGUGAGUAAUCAGAAGAGAAGGCUGACAGGCUAAGGCCAAGGAGGAGAUAAGCCCACAGGGCUGCCCUGGCUGGCCACAGGGCCACAGCAGGUACAUACCGUUGCCCCCACUGCCUUCAAGAUGCCAACUGGACUCCACUGUGUCAUGUCCAGACCCUGUGGGGGAGGGUGGGUCCAGUUGGUUGAUGAAGAUCCCCAGGGGAACUUGUCCAGCCCCAGGGACCCCCUGGGAGGUGAAAGGAAAGCAGGCCUGGAUACCUUGUUGGCAGUGUGAGCCAGAGAAGCCAGGCGGGCAGAGGCACUGGGUGCCUUGGCAGGUGCCCCCCAUGCAGGCAGGGCUCACGGAGCUGGCAGGGGUUUUCCUCAUGCUCACAGAGGUCUCCUAUAGGCCAGGGCAGAGAUGAGUGGGUGGGCAGGGGCUGGAGGUACCACCAACCACUGUGCCCUCCUGGAGUACCAGGCCAGCUCGAACCUUUGAAGCCAUCUCGACAUAGGCACUGGAACUCAUACUCGCCAGCGGGCAUGCAUGUGGCACCAUUGUGGCAUGGCUGGCGCUUCGCAGGGGGGAGUUGUCAUAGCACUGCCCAAUUCCCUGGCUGCCCAGGAAGCUGUAGGUGAGGUCCAGUCGCUUGCCAUUCACAGACACCUGUGGGCACAGGGACACCAAGGAGCUAAAGGAAUGCCAGAGGUAGAGGCACAGUGUGCCAGCAGAGAAGAAUGUGGUGGGGUUGGGGUGCCUGGGUGGUGAGAGAGAUCCUCAGUGUGGGAGGGGGAUGCAGAAGUUGAGUGCCUACUGUGUGCCAGCCCUCAGUACACCCUGCCCAGGAGUGGCUAACAUUUGCACUUUACAGAGAGGAAACAGGCUCGGUCAGGAGGUGGGGAUCCCAGGCCAGGUGAGUGUCAGGCAGCGUUGGUUUGACCACAGCCCCCCUCUGGUCCCCUGGAGGCUGCUUCUCACCUCACCCACGCAGCCACGGAAGUGAGCGCUCACGUUGGUGGCCGGGGACAGUGGCACGGAGGGCUCCACGCCUCCCAGGUAGAGGAGGGUGUGCAGGUUGAGGCCCUGGCUCUUGCCUGGCGAGGAGCGCAGCACUGGGCGGCCCCCAUUUACCCGCAAGCUGCCGUCCUUAUUCAGGCGCUCUGCAGACACACGGUGCCAGCGGCCCAGAGCCAGAGGCUCGGGCUCCGCAGGACAGCCAGCCCUGAGGGGAUACCAGGCAGGGUUAGGUACCAAGGGGAACCUGGCCCUGAACCCUCCCCUAGGUAUGUGAGCACACAGGGAACUUCCCCAGUGAGGGACCCAUGGCCAAGGGUUUGCUCAGUCACACAGGGACGGUGUGGGAACAAGGGCUUCAGGUGUGUGGCUGCUGGAUUUGUCCCUUUGAGCCUCCUUGGGCGUGGAGAGCCAAAGGGGGCACAGCUGGGCACCCAGAGAACCAUGUGCCCCUGGUGCCCAGUGCCUACCUGACCCCAGCUCAUAGCGGAACUCCAGGUGGCCACUGAGCAUCGCCAAGGACACGAAAUCCCUCCACAGGCCCGAUCCUCCCCCCGCUGAACAGCAGGAUCCCAUCUGGCGCCAGGGGCUUGAACUCCAUGUCCAGCCGUAGCUCGUGGUGUGUGUUGGUGAGGGCAGGGAGUGCCAGGUAAGAGCCAGCGCCCGACAUGGAUGGGGCAGUCACUGUCACACCUGCAGCAGCCACAGCUCAGCCAGGGGCAGUGGGGCCAAGGGGUUCUGGGCAGGACCCAGCUACUCGGUUUUCCCUGAGACCCUUGCCCACCUCACUCCCCAUUUCAGAGGCUUGGUACCAGCUGGGUGCCAGCUGUUGCUGGCCAGGAGCCCCAGGCCUGGCUCUGCAGAUCAGGCUGUGAGCACCUCUAGCCUGGGGGCCUCCCUGGGGGCCCUCACAUAAGGGAUUCAGGCUGGCAGCAGACAGGUGUUUUUGAGAUUUUAGGGCUUCAAGAUAAAUUUAUCACCUGCAGGGUCCAACAUGGCCUCUGAGUGCCCUGGCCACCAUCCCCAACUGUCACUGAGACCCUAGGGGUCAUACCUGACUCUACUUACCUUCCCUCACACCUCACUCCCUGAGCGGCCCAGGUGGCAGCGGCAGGUGUAGCCUCGACCAUCGGGCCGGUUCACACAGGUGGCGUCGGGCCCGCAGGCCUCUGGGGGCACAGGGGCCAGUGAGAAGGACACUGAUGUGACUUGGGAGGAGGUGAAUGUGGAUGCCUACGCCCUGCCCAUUGCAGAUGGCCAUUAGGGCCAGGCCAGCCUAGGAGGGCUACUGGGAGGAGCAGAGAGCCAGGCAUGGGACAGCCAGGGGCAUGAAGAGUGACCAUAUGUCUGCUAUUGCUUACGAUGCACCUGGGCAGAGUAUGGGCUGAGGGGCACCUGGGUAGAAGAUGGGAAGGUGGCAGGGACCCAAGGGGCAGUGCCUGGGCUGGGGUGAGAGCCUGGCUGGCCAUGGUGGGGGAGCUUCCAGUCCUUGGGUAAGAGUGACGGAGUGUGGAAGGACCCCAGCCACUGCAGGGGGUGACACACGAGAGAGCAACACCUAGGGAGAGUGACUGGGGGAGGGUCACACCUGGGUGGCAGUGCAGGGCCUGCGAGUGCUCACAGCGGCUCCCAGUGAAGCCAGAUGGACAGACGCACACAUAGCUGCUGCUCUUUCUGAGUCAUGGCACUGGCCUCCAUUCUGCAAAGCAGCCACCAGAGGUCAGGCCAAGGACACCCAGCCCAGCCCCUCCUCCAAGGCCAGCCACGGCUCAGGUGGCUGGGUGUGUGGGCUGGGGGCCACCUGGCAUGGCAGGUUCCGGCAGGUGGGGCAGUGGGAGAUGCCAUGUGCCGUGAGGUUGAGGUCAUGGAAGAUGAUCUCCUCGCCCUGGAUGCGCAGCUCCCGGACACAGCCUGGAGAGCAGGUGGGCAGGAUGAGCAGGGGCCAGAGGUGUGAGGAGCUUGUCAGCCCAGCCCACACCCGUGCCCCGCAGUGUCUGCCCAGCUUGGCCUGGGGGAGGUGGGGACAGGCUCACCUAUGAAGCCACUGCUCAGCCCUGCCUUGGGGAUAGUGCCAUAGUCGGGGUAGCCACCCAGGUAUAGCUCCUCAUUCAGGUCCAGGGAGCCCUGGGUGAGGUUGCGCAGCAGGGUUAUGGUGUGGAACUGGCCUAGGGCCAGUGGUGUGGGGUGGCGGAUGGUGGCCAUGCCAGAGCCUGCAUCAAACCUGCUCCAUGGGGCAGCACAGGGGUAGAAGAGGGUGAAUAGAAGUUGUAAUAUGGCCAUGGAGUGGCCCAGCCUGGGUGAUGGGGUGCCAGAGGAAGGAUGUCACGAUGUCC